UACAGAGGUCUCAAGCGUUGUUCGGAUUCAUUGGGCGUAAAGGGCGCGUAGGCUGCGGGGCAAGUCGGGUGUGAAAUCUCAGAGCUCAACUCUGAAACUGCACUCGAUACUGCUUUGCUCGAGGACUGGAGAGGAGAUUGGAAUUCACGGUGUAGCAGUGAAAUGCGUAGAUAUCGUGAGGAAGACCAGUGGCGAAGGCGGAUCUCUGGACAGUUCCUGACGCUGAGGAGCGAAAGCGUGGGGAGCGAACAGG
rnacentral:rRNA from 1 species